CAUUCGAGGCUGGGAGAGCCGAUGCCUUCGCAGUAAUUCCCACCGUGGAGGUUUGUGGAAAGACCGCUUUCGCCAUGGAGAGUAAAGGCGGGCUGGAAAGUCCCUAAGCGAGACGGGGUUUUGCCAUGUUGGUGUCGAACUAACUCCUGGCCUCAAGAGAUCCAUGGGCCUCGGCCUCCCAAGGUGCCAGGAUUACAGUCACUGCUACAACAUGCUGACCUCCUGGAGAACAGGGACGUGUGGUGUUUCUCUUUGUAUUUGUCUUUUGUUCCCAGAACAGGUAAGUACAUGGUGCCGGGUAUAGGUAGGUACCCGCUCAAUAAAUGUGAAUGAGUGAAUGAGUGGUGGGGUUGAUCUUAUCCUGAAAGAGGGAGCUCCCCACCUGCACUUUCCUGGAGCAAUCUCUAGAGGGCAGUCUCACACCAUGCUUGUCUUCUCUAGCCUCUGC